rnacentral:rRNA from 1 species
GAUGAACGCUAGCGGGAGGCCUAGCACAUGCAAGCCGAGCGGUAGAGUCUCUUCGGAGACUUGAGAGCGGCGCACGGGUGCGGAACACGUGUGCAACCUGCCUUUAUCUGGGGGAUAGCCUUUCGAAAGGAAGAUUAAUACCCCAUAAUAUACUGGAUGGCAUCAUCUGGUAUUGAAAACUCCGGUGGAUAGAGAUGGGCACGCGCAAGAUUAGAUAGUUGGUGAGGUAACGGCUCACCAAGUCAGCGAUCUUUAGGGGGCCUGAGAGGGUGAUCCCCCACACUGGUACUGAGACACGGACCAGACUCCUACGGGAGGCAGCAGUGAGGAAUAUUGGACAAUGGGUGAGAGCCUGAUCCAGCCAUCCCGCGUGAAGGACGACGGCCCUAUGGGUUGUAAACUUCUUUUGUAUAGGGAUAAACCUAGAUACGUGUAUCUAGCUGAAGGUACUAUACGAAUAAGCACCGGCUAACUCCGUG